rnacentral:rRNA from 1 species
AGAGUUUGAUCAUGGCUCAGAACGAACGCUGGCGGCGUGCUUAACACAUGCAAAGUCGAACGCGAAAAGGGACUUCGGGUCCCGAGUAGAGUGGCGCACGGGUGAGUAACGCGUAAGUAAUCUACCCCUGUAUCUGGAAUAACCCACCGAAAGGUGAGCUAAUACCGGAUACGUUUAUCUUGAUGCGAAUGAUGAUAAAGAAAGGUGGCCUCUUCAUGAAAGCUACUGUACAGGGACGAGCUUGCGUACCAUUAGCUAGUUGGUAGGGUAAUGGCCUACCAAGGCGACGAUGGUUAGCGGGUCUGAGAGGAUGAUCCGCCACACUGGAACUGGAACACGGACCAGACUCCUACGGGAGGCAGCAGUGAGGAAUUUUGCGCAAUAGGGGAAACCCUGACGCAGCAACGCCGCGUGAGUGAAGAAGGCCUUCGGGUCGUAAAGCUCUGUCAAGUGGGAAAAAACGCAGUCGGUGAAUAGCCGGGCUGAAUUGAUGGUACCACUAGAGGAAGCAACCGGCUAACUCCGUGCCAGCAGCCGCGGUAAUA